AUCGCUUCUUGGCCUUUUGGCUAAGAUCAAGUUUACUAUCUGUUCUUAUCAGUUUAAUAUCUGAUAUGUCCUCUAUCUGAGGACAAUAUAUUAAAUGGAUUUUUGGAACUAGGAAUUGGGAUAGGAGCUUGCUCCGUCCACUCCACGCAUCAACCUGGUAUUGCAGUACUUCCAGGGACGGUACCACCCCC
rnacentral:snRNA from 1 species